rnacentral:piRNA from 1 species
UNCCUUGGGUUGAUGACGUCAGGCACAAGU